rnacentral:rRNA from 1 species
UGGGGAAUAUUGGACAAUGGGCGCAAGCCUGAUCCAGCCAUGCCGCGUGUGUGAAGAAGGCCUUCGGGUUGUAAAGCCCUUUUGUNGGGAAGGAAAUCCAGCUGGUUAAUACCCGGUUGGGAUGACGNUACCCACAGAAUAAGCACCGGCUAACUUCGUGCCAGCAGCCGCGGUAAUACGNAGGGUGCAAGCGUUAAUCGGAAUUACUGGGCGUAAAGCGNGCGUAGGUGGUUUUUUAAGUCNGAUGUGAAAUCCCCGGGCUCAACCUGGGAACUGCAUUNGAUACUGGCNGNCUAGAGUGUGGUAGAGGGNGGUGGAAUUCCNGGUGUAGCAGUGAAAUGCGUAGAGAUCNGGAGGAACACCCAUGGCGAAGGCAGCCCCCUGGACCAACACUGACACUCAGGCACGAAAGCGUGGGGAGCAAACA